CGGUUGUCAUAGUUACUCAGUUAUGACAUCAGGGACAGGUUCCAGGGAAGAAGGAGGAGCAGUGGAGCAUGCCAGGCUGUCCCUGGACUUCUCUUUUGAAAGCUAAUGUAGGUUCAAGUCAAGAUGAGGGCUGACAUUAGAAAGUUUCCCACUUGCCUGGUAUGCAGUGCCACCAAUAGCAGCAGGAAGAGAUGAGGCGAAAGUCCAGAGCAACAGCCAAGCUGCUCUAGAACAAGUUAGUGGAAGAACAAGUUCAGGAUGUGGGUUUCCUGAAUUCUCAGGACCACGGAUGUUUUUUGGAGACGUUGGGCUUCGGGUGAGCUGCCAUUGGGGGAGGUCAGAGACCUGUCGCUUUUGCUGGUAGUGGGAUCUCGUAAAUGAUGAGUUGCUGACAUCGUGUGGCUCAUAGUGGGCUGGCAGCUGCUCCAGGAAGGGCUGCAAAGGAGCGGGAUGCAUCUCCACACCGGCACUGGGCGUAGCACCUACAGGUCUGAGCUGGGGUGCAGAUUCUGCUUUCCUGGCCAGCUCCCGGGUAAUACCAGAGCUGCUGGUCUGCAGCCGGCAGUCCGAGCUCCCAAACGGAACCCGUGUGUCCCUGAAUUCCUGAAAAAUCGAGGGACACUUGGUGUGCCGCGGUCCAGAGGAACUUUUAUUGCGCCCCGCAUUUCGUCCAGUGGCGGUACCGGACUGCCGCGCCUUAGCGGGGGGUGGAGGUGGGACGAAGACCAUCGCCCCUCCCCGAACCCCGGCCGGAGCUCCAGAGCCGCAGCAUCUCCGCCCGCGGACGCAGGCCUCGGAGUCUUCCCC
rnacentral:lncRNA from 1 species